GACGAAGGAUGCAAGCGUUAUCCGGAUUCAUUGGGUUUAAAGGGAGCGUAGGUGGCUUUGUAAGUCAGUGGUGAAAUCUGGUAGCUUAACUGUUAAAUUGCCAUUGAUACUGCAGAGCUUGAGUACAGAUGCCGUUGGCGGAAUAUGACAUGUAGUGGUGAAAUACAUAGAGAUGUCAUAGAACACCGAUUGCGAAGGCAGCUGACGAAACUGUAACUGACACUGAGGCUCGAAAGUGUGGGGAUCAAACAGG
rnacentral:rRNA from 1 species